rnacentral:rRNA from 1 species
AUGGCAACAACAUUGAUAUCCUCAAUCAUCUUCUCUGCCAGUUUAUUCGUGAUCUUUUCCAUGGCAAUCACUGCUAAAGCAAACGACUCUGGCAGUGGAAGGGCCAAGGUGACCAAUCUCAUGCUAGAAGCAUGCAAGAAUGCAUCAGGCUACAGUCGCGAUUUCGAACUCCAUGUCACACAGGAAUUUUGCUUGUCGACCCUGCAAUCGAGCAAUCGGAGUGUUGAUGCUAGGGACCACCUUGACCUAGUGCUCAUCGCCAUUGAUAUCCUUAAAGACCGCCUCAAUACUGCUAAUCACAAUGUUGAGAAAAUGCUACAAAAUGCAAAGAAAGGUACAGUGAAAAUCCGUGACCUCUAUUUAUGCAAGGUUUACUAUGAUACCACAACGAGAAUCAUCAACAUAUGUGAUUCCAUGUUCACGGACUAUCGCGGAGACAAGGGCGAGCUACAGCCCUUUGAGCUUCUUCGUUGGGUUGAUAGAGUGGGUUUCCCCAUCGAUGGGUGCAUGUCCAAUCUGAGCAUAGAGAAGCCAAGGGCAGAUUCACUUAUCAAUGAAAAUUUUGAGAUGGCCAUGCUGGUCAACCUUGGCUAUGCCUUGCUAGCACCCUAUGAUGAUAGUUAUUAA